GACGAACGCUGGCGGCGUGCCUAAUACAUGCAAGUAGAACGCUGAAGGAGGAGCUUGCUCUUCUGGAUGAGUUGCGAACGGGUGAGUAACGCGUAGGUAACCUGCCUGGUAGCGGGGGAUAACUAUUGGAAACGAUAGCUAAUACCGCAUAACAGUAGAUGUUGCAUGACAUUUGCUUAAAAGGUGCAAUUGCAUCACUACCAGAUGGACCUGCGUUGUAUUAGCUAGUUGGUGGGGUAACGGCUCACCAAGGCGACGAUACAUAGCCGACCUGAGAGGGGGAUCCGCCACACUGGGACGGAGACAAGGCCCAGACUUCUACGGGGAGCAGCCGGAGGGGAACUUCGGCCAUGGACGGAAGGCUGAACGAGCAACGCCGCGUGAGUGAAGAAGGUUUUCGGAUCGUAAAGCUCUGUUGUAAGAGAAGAACGAGUGUGGGAGUGGAAAGUUCACACUGUGACGGUAUCUUACCAGAAAGAGACGGCUAACUACGUG
rnacentral:rRNA from 1 species